rnacentral:rRNA from 1 species
AUUUAACGCUGGCGGCAUGCCUUACACAUGCAAGUCGAACGGCAGCACGGGAGCAAUCCUGGUGGCGAGUGGCGAACGGGUGAGUAAAGUAUCGGAACGUGCCCAGUCGUGGGGGAUAACGUCGCGAAAGUUACGCUCAUACCGCAUACGAUCUAUCGAUGAAAGCGGGCGAUCGCAAGACCUUGCGCGACUGGAGCGGCCGAUAUCAGAUUAGGUAGUUGGUGGGGUAAAGGCUCACCAAGCCGACGAUCUGUAGCUGGUCUGAGAGGACGACCCGCCACACUGGGACUGGGACACGGGCCAGAAUCCUACGGGAGGCAGCAGUGGGGAAUUUUGGACAAUGGGCGAAAGCCUGAUCCGGCCAUGCCGCGUGCAGGAUGAAGGCCUUCGGGUUGUAAACUGCUUUUGUACGGAACGAAAAGGUUUGGGCUAAUAAGCUGAGCUCAUGACGGUACCGUAAGAAUAAGCACCGGCUAACUACGUGCCAGCAGCCGCGGUAA